rnacentral:other from 1 species
AUACCCCUGCCUGACAUGUGAUGGCGAAAACAAUUUGGAACCAACAUAGAAAAUAUGGGAGCCAACAGCUCAACAGCGUGUACACCCUCGCGUUAGGGCAACCCAAGUUUGAAAUCUCGAGGCGCCCACCUGGACAAGCCAGGUUCGAUUGUUGUAACUACACGGUUUUGGCGGGGGCCCU